GGAUAGCUCAGUUGGCUUGAGCAUGGUGCUGAUAACACCAAGGUUGCAGGUUCAAUCCCCGUAUGGGACA
rnacentral:tRNA from 1 species